UUCACCAUACUGCGCAGGCGCUGCGCGGGCGUCUCGUUUGAAAACAUGGCGCCAGGUCAGCGGUUGGUUCUGUGCGAGGAGACUGUCCGGGAGCGCAGCGGCCUGGGGUCCCACCGGGACCUGGCUGAGCUUCGGUCUUUAUCUAUUCCUGGAACAUACCAAGAGAAGAUUACUCACCUGGGGAACUCUCUGAUGCAUUUGACAGCGCUAAAAUCCUUAGAUCUCUCACGUAACUCCUUGGUUAGUCUUGAGGGCAUUCAGCAUCUGGUCUUGUUGGAGAGUCUCAAUCUCUACUACAACUGUAUUUCUUCAUUAGCAGAAGUAUUUAGGCUCCACUCCCUAACAGAGCUCCAGGAUGUGGACUUCCGGCUUAACCCAGUUGUGAAGAAUGAGUCUGACUAUCGCCUAUUUGUCGUGCACAUGCUCCCCAAGCUCCGACAGCUAGAUGACCGUCCUGUGAGAGAGAGUGAGCGUAAGGCUUCUCAGCUUCAUUUUGCAUCAGAGGAUUCACUGGACUCAAAGCAGAGCUUCUCAACCACUGUUACAGUUGGAAGACCACCCCACUCCAGAACCAGAUGUGCAGAUGCUUCGGCUAAGAAAUGCUUGGUUAUGGAUGCUGAUGAUGAAGCUGUCCUGAACCUCAUUGCUGAGUGUGAGUGGGACCUAAGCAAUCCUCCCGGGAGCACGAGCUCCAGCCAAAAGGAACAUGAGGCUGACCUCCAUUAUGCCCAAGAGUCCGGACAUCUGUUAAGUCCUUUGUCCAUCCAGCACCAAUGUGGGGACUCAGUGAGGAGAGGUCACGAGAAGAAGAAAGGCACCUCCAGAGGGUGCUGUCCAGGUCAUUCACCACAGGACCAGCUCUAUGGGGAACUCACCCCACAGCACGGAGUGCCAGAGUCCUGCCAUGUGCGUGUGCAGCACAGCCGCUUCACUCCAUACCCAGACUCUGUGGAUGUUGAGGACGGUAGUUCAUCUUCUCAGAAGUCAACUUUGUCAUCACAAAAUAUAUUAAAUCCUUUGCCUGUUCCUGAAAAGUACAGGAAGCGAAGGAUGCCUGGUGGGAGAUUCCAGUUGCCUUCAGACCGGGAGUGUCUGAGCUGCCUAGAGAGGCCUGAUGGGUCCUCGGGCCUCGAGGACAGUCUGAGCAGACAGGAUGGCUUGGAGGGCCACAGUCAGAUGACCAUGUCUCAUCCUGAGGCUUUGGAGGCUGAAGAUCGGACAUCUCAUGGCACAAAUGACCCUAGAGUGCUGUCUCCUAAACUCUGCUCAGCAGCAGUGCCUGAGCGGAAGCCUGCUCUGGAAGUGGCACUCCUGGAGGCACUCCUCGACCUGAUAGACAGGUGCGCAAGUGGCUGUGGAUCCCUGCAUGGCAACGAGGCAUUCCUUGCUCAGGCCAGGCAUGUUUUGUCAUCUCUUCAAGAGUUCACAGCAUCUCCAGACAGUUCAGCACUUGAAAAGGAAGACAUUAAUUACCUGUCUCUUGAAAAUAAGUCUCUGCAGAGCCGCCUUGCUGAGCAGCAGCAGCAGUAUGCUGCUACAGUGAGCAAGGUGACAGCAGAACUCAACAGUUCAAGGAGGGAGCUGGACACAUUGAGACAACAUUUAGACAAAUCUUUGGAAGAGAAUAGUAACUUAAAAUCUCUUCUGUUAAGCGUGAAAAAAGAAGCAAAAAAUUCAGACACUUCAGCUGCAUUAACUUUGCAGAUCACGGGCUACCUCAUGGGUGCAGUUUGCUUCCUGAAGAAGGAGACUCUGCAGGCAGAUCCAGUGGAGGAGGCUCCUGCUGGUGCCAGGACUUCAGGCAAGUAUGAAACAGCUCUCAGGGGAAGUUAUGGAGUUGAAGCAGCACUUGGAGCACUAUGACAAGAUCCAGGAGCUCACACAGAUGCUGCAAGAGAGCCACAGGUCCAUGUCUGAGUGGGCCACCAGGGGUUGCUGAGGCACAGGGUGUGCGGUACCGAGAAACAGCUAGCAAUGUCUCUCAGGAGUUGGUGUUCAGGACCCAAGAGCAUUGCCAUGUUAACUUUGAACAUCAAUGAAUAUUCUCCUUGGUAAAAGCUGAGACGAUGGUGACUGCAAGGAGUGUACUCUGAGGUAUAGACAAGAAAGUACACAGCCUGAGGUAUGGACCCUAAGGUGAGCACACUGAGGUAGAUAUGAACCAGGAGGUGUAGACUAGGAAGUCUGAGAGAUAAUGAGGUAUGAUACAGUGUUCUCCCCAGAUCAUGGUUCCUAUGAUAUGUAUUUUCCCUUCCACUUCAGUCCAUGGCUGUUCACUUAGAAAAAUGGAAAUUAUAUUUCUACUUCUUGGCUGUGUGGGUAGUCAAAGGGAGACUAGGAAUGUUGGGUUGGGCAAGGCAGACCCUCACUUUAUUGAGGAAGUUUCUUCUGGGAAGGAGGCAGGUGCCUGAGUGAGAACAGGUAUCAGAGCAGCCCUAUUCCUGGGGCCUUCAAUAGGGAGGGCUGGCAUGUAGUCUUUGUUUUCACUCUUCCUUCCUUUCUCCCUUUUAACCCUCCUCAUUGUUUUCUUACUAGGUGACCACAUACUUUUAUGGAGAGAGGCUCUCCCUUUAAGUCGUUACAGGCCAGCUAUAGACCCAUCACAGGCCUGGGUUACAAUAGUUAGAGGGAAAGGCUUUUGGCAGAGAAGACUGAGCCAAGACUCAGUAGGGAGCAAUGGAAGGAAGGAAUCUGAAGUACUAAUUUAGGGUUAAAAACAAUAGCAGGCAAAACAGUACACUCUUGGAAUUCAACGGGUCAUCUGUGGUGAUUCCAGUGACAUUGGUGGUUGAGCUGUCAGCACCUGGCUCAGAUAUGGGCAGAGGAAGGUGCAGAACUCUGAAGACAGUGGAGUCAGGCUUUGGUCCACUUGUGUGCAAGCUGGUGUUAUUCAGCAGCCGUUUCUGUGAUUUAAACAAACAGGGCCAGCACCUGCUUAGUAGAUUAUUCAAUGGGGUGACUGUCUUCAAAAGUGGCAGAGGUUAGCAUUGCCUUGCUUUAUCUAAACUUGUGAUGCUAUUCACUAUGGCCACCUUGGGGAACUGAGCAGUACUGCGACAUUGUGCAAAAUGCACUAGCACUUCUGGAUCUAGCUCUGCACUGUACUGUUGCCGUAUCACAACUAGCCAUGUAUGACUAGGAAUUAGAAACAUUAUAAUAUUGGGUCUUUCUAAAGUCAGAAUAUAGUUUUAUUAGCCAUAAAGGUUAUCAUUGUCUUGUCGUAGAACUGUGGUGUGUCAGCUUGUUCCCAAGCUCAGCUCACAAUGACCAGCAGUGCCUUUAGGAGACUUGCUGAAGCCAAGGGAUCGGGUUGCACCCCGUGUAUGGUAUGGAAAAGUCAUAUACAGGCACAGAAGCCGUUCCCUGGUCAGCACCAAUGAACAUCUCCUGCAGGAGUUGAGCCGCACACGGUCACAACAUAGAGCUGAGGUAGAGCAGAUGCACUGGAGCUUCCAGGAGUUUAAGAAGACUGCUGCCCUGCUCCCACGC